GAUGAACGCUAGCGGCAGGCCUAAUACAUGCAAGUCGUACGGCAACACAGUUGCGAGCAAUCGCAACCGGUGGCGAGUGGCGCACGGGUGAGUAACGCGUAUGUAACCUACCCUUCUCCGGGACAUAACUCCGCGAAAGCGGUGCUAAUAUCCCAUACCAACUCAUCAAGACAUCUUCUUGAGUUGAAAGCAGCAAUGCGGUGAAGGAUGGGCAUGCGUCCCAUUAGCUGGUUGGUGAGGUAAUGGCCCACCAAGGCUACGAUGGGUAGGGGUUCUGAGAGGAAGCCCCCCAACUGGUACUGAGACACGGACCAGACUCCUACGGGAGGCAGCAGUAAGGAAUAUUGGGCAAUGGUCGAAAGACUGACCCAGCCAUGCCGCGUGCAGGAUGAAGGCCCUAUGGGUUGUAAACUGCUUUUAGCCGGGAAUAAACACCCGUUUUAUAACGGGCCCGAAGGUACCGGUGAAUAAGCAUCGGCUAACUCCGUGCCAGCA
rnacentral:rRNA from 1 species